rnacentral:rRNA from 1 species
CAAUAGCGUAUAUUGAAGCUGUUGCGGUUAAAAAGCUCGUAGUUGGAUUUCUGUCAAGGACAACUGGUCCGCCCCUCGGGUGAGCACAUAGUUUGGUCUUGGCAUCUUGUUGGAAACUGUUGCUGCACUUGGUUGUGUGGCGCAGUGUCCAGCACUUUCACUUUGAGGAAAUUGGAGUGUUUCAAGCAGGCACAUGCCUUUGGACACAGUAGCAUGGAAUAAUUAGAUUGGGCUUUUGCUCCAACUUGUCGGUUUCUGGAGCUGAGGUGAGAAUUAAUGGGGAUUGUUGGGGGCAUCCGAAUUUAGCCGUCAGAGGUGAAAUUCUUGGAUCUGCUAAAGACGGACAACUGCGAAAGCGUUUGCCCAGGAUGUUUUCAUUGA